rnacentral:rRNA from 1 species
GACGAACGCUGGCGGCGUGCUUAACACAUGCAAGUCGAACGGAAAGGCCCUGCUUUUGUGGGGUUCUCGAGUGGCGAACGGGUGAGUAACACGUGAGUAACCUGCCCUUGACUUUGGGAUAACUUCAGGAAACUGGGGCUAAUACCGGAUAGGAUCUCCUGCUGCAUGGUGUUGGUUGGAAAGUUUCGGCGGUUGGGGAUGGACUCGCGGCUUAUCAGCUUCAUUGUGGGGUAGUGGCUUACCAAGGCUUUGACGGGUAGCCGGCCUGAGAGGGGGACCGGCCACAUGGGGACUGCGAGAGGGACCAGACUCGUACGGGAGGCAGCAGGGGGGAAUAUUGCACAAUGGGCGGGAGCCUGAUGUAGCAACGCCGCGUGCGGGAUGACGUGCUUCGGGGGGUAAACAGCUUUCGCCUGUGACGAAGCGUGAGUGACGGUAAUGGGUAAAGAAGCACCGGCUAACUACGUG